rnacentral:lncRNA from 1 species
UCACACUGUACCUUGAUCUUGUGUGACCAGCCAGGCUUGGACCUUCCCAGACCUGAUAAACAAGGUGUCUGACGUCGGGCUCUGAACUCCACCUCCUGGCCCCUGGCUGCAGACGCAGGUGGAGGACCCCUCUGCUGCUGUCCCCAGGAUGAGCUGCAGCACCAAGUUGCCCCCAAGCGUGCUGUGGACAGAUCCCCGGUGCCCAGUGCUGCUUGGGCCUCUCAACCAGCCCAUCUCGGGAGGCUUUGGGCAGUCCCUUAUGUAUAAUUCGAUGGUUUUCAUCACACUCACAGAGUUGUGCAACCAUGGAAUAAACUAAUGCUCAGCCGUGGCUGCCAGGAAACA